GUCUCUAUCUACUGCGGGCGUUAGAGAUUUGAGUGGACCUGACCCUAGUACGAGAGGACCGGGUUGGACCGACCACUGGUGCGCCGGUUGUCCCGCCAGGGGCAUCGCCGGGUAGCUAAGUCGGGAUGGGAUAAGCGCUGAAGGCAUAUAAGCGCGAAACCCGCCACAAGAUGAGAUCUCUUUAAAGGGCCGUGGGAGAUGACCACGUCGAUAGGCCGUAGGUGGAAGUGCAGCGAUGCAUGUAGCCGAGCGGUACUAAUUGCCCGUAAGCUUGCGC
rnacentral:rRNA from 1 species